GGUAUAGUUCAGCGGUAGAGCACCGGAUUGUGGAUCCGGUUGUCGUGGGUUCGAACCCCACUAC
rnacentral:tRNA from 1 species